rnacentral:rRNA from 1 species
UGGGGAAUAUUGGACAAUGGGGGCAACCCUGAUCCAGCCAUGCCGCGUGAAUGAUGAAGGCCUUCGGGUUGUAAAGUUCUUUUGACGGGGACGAUGAUGACGGUACCCGUAGAAUAAGCACCGGCUAACUUCGUGCCAGCAGCCGCGGUAAUACGAAGGGUGCUAGCGUUGUUCGGAAUUACUGGGCGUAAAGGGCGCGUAGGCGGCUUGGCAAGUUGGGUGUGAAAGCCCAGGGCUCAACCCUGGAACUGCACUCAAGACUGCCUUGCUUGAAUUCGGUAGAGGUUGGUGGAAUUCCCAGUGUAGAGGUGAAAUUCGUAGAGAUUGGGAAGAACACCCGUGGCGAAGGCGGCCAACUGGACCGACAUUGACGCUGAGGCGCGAAAGCGUGGGGAUCAAACAGGAUUAGAUACCCCGGUAGUCC